AGAGUUUGAUCCUGGCUCAGGAUGAACGCUGGCGGCGUGCUUAACACAUGCAAGUCGAACGAACCUUCGGGUUAGUGGCGGACGGGUGAGUAACGCGUGAGAAUCUGCCCUCAGGAGGGGGAUAACGGCUGGAAACGGCCGCUAAUACCCCAUAUGCCGAGAGGUGAAAUGAAUUUCGCCUGAGGAUGAGCUCGCGUCUGAUUAGCUAGUUGGUGGGGUAAGAGCUUACCAAGGCUUCGAUCAGUAGCUGGUCUGAGAGGAUGAUCAGCCACACUGGGACUGAGACACGGCCCAGACUCCUACGGGAGGCAGCAGUGGGGAAUUUUCCGCAAUGGGCGAAAGCCUGACGGAGCAACGCCGCGUGAGGGAUGAAGGCCUCUGGGCUGUAAACCUCUUUUCUCAAGGAAGAAGAUCUGACGGUACUUGAGGAAUAAGCCACGGCUAAUUCCGUGCUAGCAGCCGCGGUAAUACGGGAGUGGCAAGCGUUAUCCGGAAUUAUUGGGCGUAAAGCGUCCGCAGGCGGCCUUGAAAGUCUGCUGUUAAAGCGUGGAGCUUAACUCCAUUUCAGCAGUGGAAACUACAAGGCUAGAGUGUGGUAGGGGCAGAGGGAAUUCCCGGUGUAGCGGUGAAAUGCGUAGAUAUCGGGAAGAACACCAGUGGCGAAGGCGCUCUGCUGGGCCAUAACUGACGCUCAUGGACGAAAGCCAGGGGAGCGAAAGGGAUUAGAUACCCCUGUAGUCCUGGCCGUAAACGAUGAACACUAGGUGUCGGGGGAAUCGACCCCUCCGGUGUCGUAGCCAACGCGUUAAGUGUUCCGCCUGGGGAGUACGCACGCAAGUGUGAAACUCAAAGGAAUUGUCGGGGGCCCGCACAAGCGGUGGAGUAUGUGGUUUAAUUCGAUGCAACGCGAAGAACCUUACCAGGGUUUGACAUCCUGCGAAUCCCUUGGAAACGAGGGAGUGCCUUCGGGAGCGCAGUGACAGGUGGUGCAUGGCUGUCGUCAGCUCGUGUCGUGAGAUGUUGGGUUAAGUCCCGCAACGAGCGCAACCCACGUCUUUAGUUGCCAGCAUUGAGUUGGGCACUCUAGAGAGACCGCCGGUGAUAAACCGGAGGAAGGUGUGGAUGACGUCAAGUCAUCAUGCCCCUUACAUCCUGGGCUACACACGUACUACAAUGCUACGGACAAAGGGCAGCAAACUCGCGAGAGCUAGCAAAUCCCAUAAACCGUGGCUCAGUUCAGAUCGUAGGCUGCAACUCGCCUACGUGAAGGAGGAAUCGCUAGUAAUCGCAGGUCAGCAUACUGCGGUGAAUACGUUCCCGGGCCUUGUACACACCGCCCGUCACACCAUGGAAGUUGGCCACGCCCGAAGUCGUUACUCCAACCCGCAAGGGAGGAGGAUGCCGAAGGUGGGGCUGAUGACUGGGGUGAAGUCGGAACAAGGUA
rnacentral:rRNA from 1 species